GCCUUAAUGCAGCCGACGCCGGUCGCAAGCCCGGGAGCAAAAUGCAGAGCGAGGC
ncrna:unclassified sequences type-P1 twister ribozyme